UAACCCCUUUCCUGUGUCUAUUC
rnacentral:miRNA from 1 species